rnacentral:lncRNA from 1 species
CCUCAGAUCACGCCACCUCAGGAAACAGCCGAAAAUAGACGCGAACCCAGCGUUUUAGUGGGUCAGAAGACUGUGAUGACGUGGACGCAAGCAUGCCACGUGACUGCGAUGACGUAACACGCAAGCACACCACAUGGCUGAGAUGGCGAAGCACGCAGGCACGCCGUGUAGCUGAGGUGACAAAGCAUGCCUGCCCCCAAUGAUUCAUCUUAUUGCUUGUCAACAUUGGAACAGCACCUCGCACAUAAGCCACGCUACCUUUCGUAGUUAGUGCAUCUCUCGUCCUUCGCACCGAUGGAUAGGCCAGCACGCUUCACUGGCCGCUUCAGAGGCGUGAGGACGUCUACAGUCUCUCAUCUUCCUUUAGUCCAGCUC